rnacentral:rRNA from 1 species
UACGUAGGGUGCGAGCGUUGUCCGGAUUUAUUGGGCGUAAAGAGCUCGUAGGCGGUUUGUCGCGUCGGCCGUGAAAUCUCCACGCUUAACGUGGAGCGUGCGGUCGAUACGGGCAGACUUGGAGUUCGGUAGGGGGGACUGGAAUUCCUGGUGUAGCGGUGAAAUGCGCAGAUAUCAGGAGGAACACCGGUGGCGAAGGCGGGUCUCUGGGCCGAUACUGACGCUGGAGGAGCGGAAAAGCGUGGGGAGCGAACAGG